UGAAGACUUAUUGACAAUGCUAAAUGAUACAUUUAAAAGUAUCCAAAUUGUUAACCCAUACAAACAGGAAAAAUGUUAGUAAUUCUGUCAUUAGACUAUUCUAGCUUGGACAGCAGUAAGAAUCACAUAGAAAGAGAAGAAAACGAAGACACAGGGACGUGCUGCUACAUGCCCAAGAUCAGACCAAAGACUGGUAGCUAAAGUAACUGAGAGAGACCUGUGAAAGUGAAGGUGACCAACGGCAAAUCAACUUAAAACUGGCAGUAGCCAGCAGACCACCUUGAGGCACAGAUGCAAGAGACAAUAUUUAUUCUCUGAAAAACAACAACCUUACACCUGCCCCAGCAUGGGGAGAACCUCACUGUAACCGAAGAAGUUAAACCC